CCCCCGCAGGUCAGCGCCCAUGUGUCGAUCCGCCCGCUCCUGGCCUCCGGAGCCGUGUGCGCAGGUUCGAAUCCUGCCGGGGGCA
rnacentral:tRNA from 1 species